AGAAAGAGAUAUCUUCUCAUUUCUUAGAAAAACAAUUACAGAGAGUAUACAGCUAUAUAAAGUAAAAGAGCAACAAGAAUAUUCUCUAGAUUCCUAAGCUAUAGUCCAAAAGAGGAAAAAGCAAAAGUAAAAGGUAAAGCUACUUUUCUCCUUCUCUCCAACGGUCACAAGGAGAUCAUAUCCAGCCUGGCUCCUUCCUCUCUUAUCUUUAAACGUUAACAAGAGAAUGAACAUAAGAGAAGAAGGCUCC
rnacentral:lncRNA from 1 species